rnacentral:rRNA from 1 species
UACAGAGGGUGCGAGCGUUGUUCGGAAUUAUUGGGCGUAAAGAGCUCGUAGGCGGUCUGUCGCGUCUGCUGUGAAAACUCGGGGCUUAACCCCGGGCCUGCAGUGGGUACGGGCAGACUAGAGUGCGGUAGGGGAGACUGGAAUUCCUGGUGUAGCGGUGAAAUGCGCAGAUAUCAGGAAGAACACCCGUGGCUAAGGCGGCUCUCUAGUACGGUACUGACGCUGAGAGCGAAAGCGUGGGGAGCGAACAGG